UCUUAUGCAUGGGCAAAGAAAGUGGUUUCUUGAAAUGGAAUCUACUCCUGAAGAUACUGUGAA
rnacentral:pre_miRNA from 3 species